rnacentral:tRNA from 1 species
GCGGGUGUAGCUCAAUGGUAGAGUUCUGGCCUUCCAAGCCAGCUGUGAGGGUUCGAUCCCCUUCACCCGC